CGAAGUCUGGUGUCAGCAGCCGCGGUAAUUCCAGCUCCAAUAGCGUAUAUUAAAGUUGCUGCAGUUAAAAAGCUCGUAGUUGAAUUUCGGGACCGAUAUAUCGGUCGUGCCUCGGUACGUACUGGUAUUUUCGGUUUCUACCUUCUGACGAACCUUGAUGUCAUUAAUUUGGUGUCUUGGGAAAUCAGGACUGUUACUUUGAAAAAAUUAGAGUGUUUAAAGCAGGCUCACGCUUGAAUACAUUAGCAUGGAAUAAUGAAAUAGGACGUUUGAUUCUAUUUUGUUGGUUUCUAGGAUCGACGUAAUGAUUAAUAGGGAUAGUUGGGGGCAUUAGUAUUCAAUUGUCAGAGGUGAAAUUCUUGGAUUUAUUGAAGACUAACUACUGCGAAAGCAUUUGCCAAGGAUGUUUUCAUUAAUCAAGAACGAAAGUUAGGGGAUCGAAGACGAUCAGAUACCGUCGUAGUCUUAACCAUAAACUAUGCCGACUAGGGAUCGGAUGAUGUUAAUUUUUUAAUGACUCAUUCGGCGCCUUACG
rnacentral:rRNA from 1 species